UGGGGAAUUUUGGACAAUGGGCGCAAGCCUGAUCCAGCAAUGCCGCGUGCAGGAUGAAGGCCUUCGGGUUGUAAACUGCUUUUGUACGGAACGAAAAAGCUCUCUCUAAUACAGGGGGUGAAUGACGGUACCGUAAGAAUAAGCACCGGCUAACUACGUGCCAGCAGCCGCGGUAAUACGUAGGGUGCAAGCGUUAAUCGGAAUUACUGGGCGUAAAGCGUGCGCAGGCGGUUUUGUAAGACAGAGGUGAAAUCCCCGGGCUCAACCUGGGAACUGCCUUUGUGACUGCAAAGCUGGACUGCGGCAGAGGGGGAUGGAAUUCCGCGUGUAGCAGUGAAAUGCGUAGAUAUGCGGAGGAACACCGAUGGCGAAGGCAAUCCCCUGGGCCUGCACUGACGCUCAUGCACGAAAGCGUGGGGAGCAAACA
rnacentral:rRNA from 1 species